GACGAACGCUGGCGGCGUGCCUAAUACAUGCAAGUAGAACGCUGAAGACUUUAGCUUGCUAAAGUUGGAAGAGUUGCGAACGGGUGAGUAACGCGUAGGUAACCUGCCUUUCGGUUCGGAAUAACGUCUGGAAACGGACGCUAACACCGGAUACGCCCUUUGGGGGAAAGUUCACGCCGAGAGAGGGGCCCGCGUCGGAUUAGGUAGUUGGUGUGGUAACGGCGCACCAAGCCGACGAUCCGUAGCUGGUCUGAGAGGAUGAUCAGCCACACUGGGACUGAGACACGGCCCAG
rnacentral:rRNA from 1 species